rnacentral:misc_RNA from 1 species
GAAAUGCGAUAAGUAGUGUGAAUUGCAGAAUUCAGUGAAUCAUCGAAUCUUUGAACGCACAUUGCGCCCUAUGGUAUUCCGUAGGGCAUGCAUGUUCGAGCGUCAUUUACACCUUCAAGCCUUGCUUGGUGUUGGGUGACUGUGGCCCCUUUGGGGCCACUCGCCUUAAAGUCAUUGGCGGCCGGUUCGUUGGCUUUGUAGCGCAGCACAAUUGCGUCCUCGAAGCCGCUGGACCAGCUCCCAGAAGCUAAUUUUAAAUGUUUGACCUCGAAUCAGGUAGGGAUACCCGCUGAACUUAAGC